AGAAUAGCUCAGUUGGUAGAGUCGCGGUCUCCAAAACCGUUGGUCGUGGGUUCGAGUCCUACUUCU
rnacentral:tRNA from 2 species